GCCCUUGUAGGCUAACGGAUAGGCCAGCGGGUUUCUAACUCGCGAUGUGGAGGUUCGAAUCCUCUCAGGGGCU
rnacentral:tRNA from 1 species